GCGGCCAGCUGAAGUCAUCUUGAGCACCGGAGGAGAGGCCCGGCGACGUGGCCGAGCGUGGCCGGCGGAGAGGCGUCUUGGUCGGAUGAAUGGUUGUUGGAACGCGGCCCGCGGAAGUUAUCUUGAGCACCGGAGGAGAGGCCCGGCGACGUGGCCAAGCGUGGCCGGCGGAGAGGCGUCUUGGUCGGAUGAAUGGUGUUGGAACGCGGCCAGCGGAAGUCAUCUUGAGCACCGGAGGAGAGGCCCGGCGACGUGGCCGAGCG